UGCCAGGUGUUCUACAAAUGUACGGAGAAGCUGCUGCAUCAGGCAGGAGGGUGCGCCUGAGCAGUAUUCUCAGUUGUCUUCAAAAGGAGGACACGAACCAAAACAAAAGAGCAGCUGUCCUACUUGGUCUUCCAUGCUACCUUGCAGAAGAUUCCUCUGACAUAAUCAGGAUGUGUGAUGCUCAUGGUGAAACCCUUGACGUGCUAAUGAGCGGGAUGCAAGUUGGACUGUUGAUUGGACACGAAGGCCCUCUGCAUGAUGCAUUUCCAUUGGAUGUUUUCAACGUGGCUCUGGUAAUAGAGGAGAAGAUAAUCCUACAUGACCUCCGAGAUGUGUCCACAGGCUUUGCCAUGUUACUGGGUGCAAUCUACUGCCUAAACCUUGAGUACCCACGUAAUAUGAAGUAUUCUUUUGAGUUCCUUCAGAGGGUUGUCAUGAACAUUAAACCGGACCAAUGUUCAGCCAGAAUCCAUGGACUCAGAAAUAAAAUGCUUAGAUAUCGCAUGUAAACAAAGAAAUGCACUUGUCAAGCAACUACUAGGAGGCAGCAGUUAUCUGGGAAGCUUGCCUUGUUCUUUACACUAGCAUACAGGUUUUCAUCGGCUUAGUUUGUUCAGCACAAGUCAGGUAUGCGUGACAGAUGUGUCACUUGUGAAGUUGAAAAAUCUGAAAUUGUUGAAAAAUCUAAAAUAGUUUAAAUGUGCAAAACAUUUUGAGGUAUAAUGAAAACAAACUUUUGUUUCGAAUUGUGGUUAAAGAAUCUUUUAGACGUGGAUGUUGAUGUUUUGUAAAGCUCUGCGUAUACCACAUUUUUCCUCUACAACUUCGCCAUACUUAUUCUCUCAUUCACAGUUUUAAAAUUGUGUUCAAUUAACAGUUAAAUUAAGUGAAAUGUAAGUAAGUAUUUAUAAUGUACACCAUUGUUUUUGUUCAUAUGACGAUAUGGACCGGUUAUCUCACUUUUUGCUUACUUAUGACACCUGCCCAUCUGUCCCCCUUUCCUCAGCACUCUCGGUUGUCAACCUCAGUGAGGCCUGUUUUGAUGCAAAGACAUGUUUAAGAUGUAUCAAUGUUCCACAUUGUUCAUAUUCAUGUUGAGAUUUUAUGAUUAUCUGUUUACUAUCUCACAUACGUCAUUGUUCAACCCCACCUCACCUACUUUCUUUCUACGAGUCCACUCGCUGUCAGUCCACCCACCCUCUGUCUGUCUGUCUGUCUGUCUGCAAGUCCACCCUCUGUCUGACUGUCAUGUCUGUCUGCAAGUCCACCCUCUGUACAUUACAGAGACAUACAUUGGGUAUGGCAUGUUAAAACCUUUAACUUCUGUUAAAGUUUAUAUAAAUGUAUUUAUAAAAUAAAUGUUCUUGGACAACUGCAAGAA